rnacentral:rRNA from 1 species
GUCCACGCUGUAAACGAUGAUCACUGGAUAUGGGACUUGCUUAGCAGGUUCUGUGUCGAAGCUAACGCGUUAAGUGAUCCGCCUGGGGAGUACGGUCGCAAGAUUAAAACUCAAAGAAAUUGACGGGGUCCGCACAAGCGGUGGAACAUGUGGUUUAAUUCGACACUACGCGAGGAACCUUACCUGGGCUUGACAUGUAACUGCUACUGGUAGAGAUACUGGGUUCUGUAGAAAUACGGACGGUUACACAGGUGCUGCAUGGCUGUCGU